rnacentral:rRNA from 1 species
AGUGAACGCUGGCGGUAGGCCUAACACAUGCAAGUCGAACGGCAGCACAGUAAGAGCUUGCUCUUACGGGUGGCGAGUGGCGGACGGGUGAGGAAUACAUCGGAAUCUACUUUUUCGUGGGGGAUAACGUAGGGAAACUUACGCUAAUACCGCAUACGACCUACGGGUGAAAGCAGGGGAUCUUCGGACCUUGCGCGAUUGAAUGAGCCGAUGUCGGAUUAGCUAGUUGGCGGGGUAAAGGCCCACCAAGGCGACGAUCCGUAGCUGGUCUGAGAGGAUGACCAGCCACACUGGAACUGAGACACGGUCCAGACUCCUACGGGAGGCAGCAGUGGGGAAUAUUGGACAAUGGGCGCAAGCCUGAUCCAGCCAUACCGCGUGGGUGAAGAAGGCCUUCGGGUUGUAAAGCCCUUUUGUUGGGAAAGAAAAGCAGCAGGUUAAUACCCCGCUGUUCUGACGGUACCCAAAGAAUAAGCACCGGUUAACUUCGUG